GAUGAACGCUAGCGGCAGGCCUAAUACAUGCAAGUCGAACGGUAGAUCGGGUAGCAAUACUUGAUUGAGAGUGACGUAAGGGUGCGUAACACGUAUGCAAUCUACCCUCAACAGGAGUAUAGCUCGGGGAAACUCGGAUUAACACUCCAUAACAUUACGAUGUGGCAUCACAUUGUGAUUAAAACUCCGGUGGUUGAGGAUGAGCAUGCGUCUGAUUAGUUAGUUGGAGGUGUAACGGACCCCCAAGACGAUGAUCAGUAGGGGAACUGAGAGGUUGAUCCCCCANACUGGCACUGAGAUACGGGCCAGACUCCUACGGGAGGCAGCAGUAGGGAAUAUUGGUCAAUGGGUGAGAGCCUGAACCAGCCAUGCCGCGUGCAGGAAGACGGCCUUCUGGGUUGUAAACUGCUUUUAUCUGGGGAUAAAAAGCCCAUGCGUGGGACAUUGAAGGUACCAGAUGAAUAAGCACCGGCUAACUACGUCG
rnacentral:rRNA from 1 species